rnacentral:rRNA from 1 species
GGAAAGACCCCGUGCACCUUUACUAUAGUUAUAUAUUGUAAUAAUGAAUUUUAUGUGCAGAAUAAAUGGGAUGUUUUUAAAAAAGACUUUUAUGAAAGUAAACUGUUUAAACACAAGUGAGAUACCAUUCUUAGAAUUUUUUAUUACUUAUUUUUUUUUUAAAAAAAAACAUUAUAUAAUGGGUAGUUUGACUGGGGCGGUCGC